rnacentral:rRNA from 1 species
UUGAACGCUGGCGGCAGGCCUAACACAUGCAAGUCGAGCGGAUGAAGGGAGCUUGCUCCUGGAUUCAGCGGCGGACGGGUGAGUAAUGCCUAGGAAUCUGCCUGGUAGUGGGGGAUAACGUCCGGAAACGGGCGCUAAUACCGCAUACGUCCUGAGGGAGAAAGUGGGGGAUCUUCGGACCUCACGCUAUCAGAUGAGCCUAGGUCGGAUUAGCUAGUUGGUGGGGUAAAGGCCUACCAAGGCGACGAUCCGUAACUGGUCUGAGAGGAUGAUCAGUCACACUGGAACUGAGACACGGUCCAGACUCCUACGGGAGGCAGCAGUGGGGAAUAUUGGACAAUGGGCGAAAGCCUGAUCCAGCCAUGCCGCGUGUGUGAAGAAGGUCUUCGGAUUGUAAAGCACUUUAAGUUGGGAGGAAGGGCAGUAAGUUAAUACCUUGCUGUUUUGACGUUACCAACAGAAUAAGCACCGGAUAACUUCGUG